rnacentral:rRNA from 1 species
CAGGAUGAACGCUGGCGGCGUGCCUAACACAUGCAAGUCGAACGGAGAAUUUACGCUGAUGAAGCUUCGGCAGAUUCUUGUAAAUUCUUAGUGGCGGACGGGUGAGUAACGCGUGGGCAACCUGCCUCAUACUGGGGGAUAACAGCUGGAAACGACUGUUAAUACCGCAUAAGCGCACGGUAUCGCAUGAUACAGUGUGAAAAACUCCGGUGGUAUGAGAUGGGCCCGCGUCAGAUUAGCCAGUUGGCAGGGUAACGGCCUACCAAAGCGACGAUCUGUAGCCGGCCUGAGAGGGCGGACGGCCACAUUGGGACUGAGACACGGCCCAAACUCCUACGGGAGGCAGCAGUGGGGGAUAUUGCACAAUGGAGGAAACUCUGAUGCAGCGACGCCGCGUGAGUGAAGAAGUAUUUCGGUAUGUAAAGCUCUAUCAGCAGGGAAGAAAGACUCGUAAGAGAGAUGACGGUACCUGACUAAGAAGCCCCGGCUAACUACGUGCCAGCAGCCGCGGUAAUACGUAGGGGGCAAGCGUUAUCCGGAUUUACUGGGUGUAAAGGGAGCGCAGACGGUCAAGCAAGUCUGAAGUGAAACCCCACGGCUCAACCGUGGGCUUGCUUUGGAAACUGUUUGACUAGAGUACUGGAGAGGUAAGCGGAAUUCCUAGUGUAGCGGUGAAAUGCGUAGAUAUUAGGAGGAACAUCGGUGGCGAAGGCGGC